UCUGAGCUGACCUGUUCCCUCUUGGCCUGGCCUGACUCCAAAGCCCACGGCCUGGUCACUGUCCUCAUGUUGGCUGGACCUGGACAGUCUCUGUGGCUAUCCUGCCACGUGUUUCAGGCUAUGUGAUGGAGGUGGCCUGUCGGCACUGAGAAUCAGCGGCGUCUGCUGCAUGGCAGACCUCGAGUGCUGAGGGUGAGACCACUGUCUGCUCCAACCACAGGUCUCGCCACCCUCCUGCCACCUGACAGCACCUGCAUGCACACAAGUGCACCUGCGCGCAUUUUACAGCCUAUUCCUGACGUGUCCACGGAGGACAGGCUGGGAAGAUGGUGCGAGCAGCUGAGAAUUAAUCGAGGAAACCUAUGAUGAAAUUGCCUAAGUCCUGGAAGCCCGACAGCAGAAGACCAAUCAAUGACCUGCUUAUGUUUGUUGUCCAUCAUUCAUCUCUAGUCCUCUUCCUGGCACAUUCCGCCCAUACUUUGGUUGUCUGA